rnacentral:misc_RNA from 1 species
GUGAAUCAUCGAAUUUUUGAACGCAAAUUGCACUCUCUGGUAUUCCGGAGAGUAUGCCUGUUUGAGGGUCAGUUUAAAUAAAAAUCGGUGUGUUGCUUCUUUGUGACGCUCAGGAGUUUGGGUCAUCUUAAUAUCCUUUAGGUUUUAAGAGGCUUAAAAUUGACUUUUUUUGUUCAUUUUAGAUGUAAAUAAAUUAUUUUUGUUAUUCGUCUGCCUUAAUGCUUAAAAUCCUAUUAGAUGCGACCAUAUCUAGUG